rnacentral:rRNA from 1 species
UAAGUGCAUCAGGUGGAUGCCUUGGCGAUGAUAGGCGAAGAAGGACGUGUAAGCCUGCGAAAAGCACGGAGAAGCUGGCAAAAAAGCAAUGAUACCGUGAUGUCCGAAUGGGGAAACCCACUGCACUCGUGCAGUAUCCUAGUCUGAAUACAUAGGGCUAGAGAAGCGAACCUGGAGAACUGAACCUGUCUCUUAUACACAUCU